GCUAUGCAAGCUAGAACGUAUUUUUCCUCCUGGAUUUUUUGACUCAAUGGAACAUCUACCUAUUCAUUUGCCAUUCGAAGCAUUGCUCGGUGGUCCUGUGCAAUAUAGAUGGAUGUAUCCUUUUGAGAGAUUUCUCCAUCAUCUUAAGAAAAAGGUCAAGAACAAAGCACAUGUUGAAGGAUCUAUCGUUGAAUCAUACCUAAUUGAGGAGAUUUCUCACUUUUAUGACAAAGAAUUCAGUGCAGCCAUGAAUCAUAUACUAAUAAACUGUGAUGAAAUUAAGUCAUAUAUUGAGUGAGUAUUUAUCUUCCUAUAUAUAUUCUUACUAUUAAUAAUAUUUUCUGAUAUUAAUAAUUUUAAUUUAUUUGAAAUUUAUGUACUAUAGGAUCUUUGUGGACUUCAUACUCCAAGAUCAUAUUACUUUAAGUGAUGAACAAGUUGAUCAAUUUAUUGAAGCGGAUUUUGCAGAAUGGUUUAAAAAUUAUGUUCAUGAUCCUUUAAAUAAUGUGACAGAUUCGAAUAUUCAUUCUUUGGCAUGGGGUCCUUUGAGAAUUGUUAAAUGUUGGCCUAUCUACAAAGUCAAUGGCUUCAAGUUUCACACAAGAUCUCACUCGAGUGGAAAGUCAACUUAGAAUUAUGGAAUAUGUGUCAAAGGCACAGGUUAUGGUGAAUAUGAAAAUGAUUUCUAUGGCCAGUUUGAUGAAAUUAUUCAAGUUGAGUAUACUGGGCUACCACUAAAAAGAGUUGUACUAUUUAAAUGUGAAUGGUUUGAUCCCACGAUCGGCAAAGGAACAAAAGUAAACAAAGAGUAUGGAAUCAUACAGAUUCGAAAGAAUCGACGAUAUGUUAAAUAUGAUCCGUUUAUCAUUGCACAUAAAGCAAUUCAAGUAUAUUUUGCACCUCAUCCAAUGAGCAACACUAGAGAAAAAGCAGAAUGGUGGUUUGUAUUCAAGACUAAAGCAAGAGGUGAGAUUGAGAUUGAAACAACGGAGGAUUUUGCAUAUCAAGAAGAUGGCACAAAUCAAUCUAACAAUCAUAUCUCAAAUGAUAUUGACAUUAUUGUUGAUUUACUGGAUACCAAUAGUACAAGAUAUGAAGAAGAAGAAGAAGAAGAAGAAG